CCUACGGGUGGCAGCAGUGAGGAAUAUUGGUCAAUGGGAGAGAUCCUGAACCAGCCAAGCCGCGUGAGGGAAGACGGCCCUAUGGGUUGUAAACCUCUUUUGUCGGAGAACAAAACCCGGGUCGAGUCCCGGACCGCGUGUACCCGAAGAAAAAGCAUCGGCUAACUCCGUGCCAGCAGCCGCGGUACUACGGAGGAUGCGAGCGUUAUCCGGAUUUAUUGGGUUUAAAGGGUGCGUAGGCGGUCUGUUAAGUCAGCGGUAAAAUGGCGGGGCUCAACCCCGUCGAGCCGUUGAAACUGGCAGACUUGAGUUGGCGAGAGGUACGCGGAAUGCGCGGUGUAGCGGUGAAAUGCAUAGAUAUCGCGCAGAACUCCGAUUGCGAAGGCAGCGUACCGGCGCCAGACUGACGCUGAGGCACGAAAGCGUGGGGAUCGAACAGGAUUAGAUACCCUUGUAGUC
rnacentral:rRNA from 1 species